GGGAACCAGCGUGGCUAGGCUAGCUAGCCUGGAGCUCUGGAGGCAGCCUAGCUAGCUAGCUAGCUAGAUAAAAUAAUCCUAGACAACAUGCAGCCUAUAGUUCAGCUACAAGGCAACAAGCACUUCUGUUAUCAAGUCAGAAACUCGCCUCCAUCUUGUUCACUUGGCAAGAAAUCGACUGUCGUGAGUGAGUCAAGAGAACGUUGCGGUGUAAUAUCACUCCAUUCAAAUGACCAAUCUGGAACACGUUUUAUUUGAACAGCUAUGCGUGCUGUAAUGUUGAGCAUACUCGAGUGGCAAUCUGUUGGAGGUACCUACCUGACUGUUUGUUGACCGAGCCACUAGCAUGAAGCUGAUCAAAAGUUGAAGUCCAAGAACCCGGCUUUCUUGUUCGGCUUUUCAGCAGGGCACACAUGGCCAUCACCACCAUUGUGUCUGAUGUUGGAUCCACUUCUUCAUCAUCUUCAUUAUCCCGCCUGCCAGUGUUACCGAGAAUCCUCAGCAAUCGCAGGAGAUAGCAGCUCAAAUUCUUCAAGGAGUUUAGCCAUGGUAAAGUCAUUGAAGUGAUCAACAGUAUCAGGCCCAUGAUAAGCAACGUUUUUCGAAGUUGUCAAGGAAUUUAUUUGCCCGACAAGCUGUUCCUCUAGCCCAUGAACUCGUUCUUCCAAUGCUUUCACCUGUUGUCUUAGCUGACUAUUCUCGUGUUGUAAUGGCGAAGGAUUUGGUAGAUCUACUAGCUGGUUGUUCCCGAGGUUCAAUACCAAAAAUGUGUGACUUGCGAGAUUUUCCAGCUGGUCUUGAUAUUGAAAGAGGAAAAACAGACUUAAUAACGUCUGACACCAUUUUCGAGUUGAAUUUUGUCUUUACAAAAGCUGAAGAGAUGUCGUUAUACAAAUCCUCGAACUUUACACGUUUUGCUUGAGGUCCUUCGGAUGGUGCGUCUGUGUAGCGUUUCCUAAGCCAUUCUUCUUUAGAUGAAUCCAUUUCAUUGAUUGUGUAAUAAAAUAGUUCAUGUGUAUCUCUAUCCCUUUUUGUACUAACUAUUUUUGGGUAUAAUUACUGACAUCAUCAUUACACAAUGUUCAUGUAUUAUUAUUAGUAACACAAUUUUGCUUAUUAUAAUGA